rnacentral:rRNA from 1 species
AACGAACGCUGGCGGCAGGCUUAACACAUGCAAGUCGAGCGAGGACUUCGGUUCUAGCGGCGGACGGGUGAGUAACGCGUGGGAAUGUGCCCUUCUCUACGGAAUAGCUCUGGGAAACUGGGAGUAAUACCGUUUACGCCCUUUUGGGGUAAGAUUUAUCGGAGAAGGAUCAGCCCGCGUUGGAUUAGGUAGUUGGUGGGGUACUGGCCUACCAAGCCGACGAUCCAUAGCUGGUUUGAGAGGAUGAUCAGCCACACUGGGACUGAGACACGGCCCAGACUCCGACGGGAGGGAGCAGAGGGGAAUCUUAGACAAUGGGGGCAGACCUGAUCUAGCCAUGCCGCGUAAGUGAUGAAGGCCUUAGGGUUGUAAAGCUCUUUCAGCUGGGAAGAUAAUGACGGUACCAGCAAAAGAAGCCCCGGCUAACUCCGUG